rnacentral:rRNA from 1 species
UACGUAGGGGGCUAGCGUUGUCCGGAAUCAUUGGGCGUAAAGAGCGCGUAGGCGGCUGGAAUAGUCCGGUGUGAAAUCCACAGGCUUAACCUGUGAAUGCCGCUGGAAACUGUCUGGCUAGAGUCCGGAAGGGGCGAGUGGAAUUCCUGGUGUAGCGGUGAAAUGCGCAGAUAUCAGGAAGAACACCCGUGGCGAAGGCGGCUUUCUGGGACGGUACUGACGCUGAGACGCGAAAGCGUGGGGAGCGAACAGG